GGACGUAUAGCUCAGUCGGUAGAGCAGCUGACUCUUAAUCAGCGGGUCCCAGGUUCGAACCCUGGUGCGUCCACCA
rnacentral:tRNA from 7 species